rnacentral:rRNA from 1 species
AGUCGAACGGUAACAGGAAGCAGCUUGCUGCUUCGCUGACGAGUGGCGGACGGGUGAGUAAUGUCUGGGAAACUGCCUGAUGGAGGGGGAUAACUACUGGAAACGGUAGCUAAUACCGCAUAACGUCGCAAGACCAAAGAGGGGGACCUUCGGGCCUCUUGCCAUCGGAUGUGCCCAGAUGGGAUUAGCUAGUAGGUGGGGUAACGGCUCACCUAGGCGACGAUCCCUAGCUGGUCUGAGAGGAUGACCAGCCACACUGGAACUGAGACACGGUCCAGACUCCUACGGGAGGCAGCAGUGGGGAAUAUUGCACAAUGGGCGCAAGCCUGAUGCAGCCAUGCCGCGUGUAUGAAGAAGGCCUUCGGGUUGUAAAGUACUUUCAGCGGGGAGGAAGGCGACAGGGUUAAUAACCCUGUCGAUUGACGUUACCCGCAGAAGAAGCACCGGCUAACUCCGUGCCAGCAGCCGCGGUAAUACGGAGGGUGCAAGCGUUAAUCGGAAUUACUGGGCGUAAAGCGCACGCAGGCGGUCUGUCAAGUCGGAUGUGAAAUCCCCGGGCUCAACCUGGGAACUGCAUUCGAAACUGGCAGGCUAGAGUCUUGUAGAGGGGGGUAGAAUUCCAGGUGUAGCGGUGAAAUGCGUAGAGAUCUGGAGGAAUACCGGUGGCGAAGGC